UACUUAUCCAGAAAGACGGAGGGACCGGACCCGAUGAUGUCUUGGCAACCAACCAGCCCAGGGGAAUGGUGCCAAUUUCCUCCCGCCAGCCAGCGGGGUAGAUAAGGU
rnacentral:ncRNA from 18 species